AUUGAACGCUGGCGGCAUGCCUUACACAUGCAAGUCGAACGGUAACAGGUUAAGCUGACGAGCGGCGAACGGGUGAGUAAUGUAUCGGAACGUGCCCAGUCGUGGGGGAUAACUGCUCGAAAGAGCAGCUAAUACCGCAUACGACCUGAGGGUGAAAGCGGGGGAUCGCAAGACCUCGCGCGAUUGGAGCGGCCGAUAUCGGAUUAGGUAGUUGGUGAGGUAAAGGCUCACCAAGCCGACGAUCUGUAGCUGGUCUGAGAGGACGACCAGCCACACUGGGACUGAGACACGGCCCAGACUCCUACGGGAGGCAGCAGUGGGGAAUUUUGGACAAUGGGCGCAAGCCUGAUCCAGCCAUGCCGCGUGCGGGAAGAAGGCCUUCGGGUUGUAAACCGCUUUUGUCAGGGAAGAAAAGGUUCUGGCUAAUACCUGGGACUCAUGACGGUACCUGAAGAAUAAGCACCGGCUAACUACGUGCCAGCCGCCGCGGUAAUAC
rnacentral:rRNA from 1 species